CCAAGCGUCUGCGGCAACGACAAACCAGUGAAAAGAACAGCUCGGGCGCAGCGGUCA
rnacentral:tRNA from 1 species